CGCUGGAGCCGCGGAGAGGGGCUUAGCGCCCGGCUGCUCUGGGGACUCACGGUGGGAGAGCGUUUUAGUGGGGUCAGGGACCCUCUGUCCCCCCCCCUCCGCUUUGCCCCCGGUUUUGAAACCAAGCAGUUAUUGCUAAAUCGGUCGGUUCACGGCUACAAGUAACACCCGUUAUUUAGGCAGGUCUUCAAGAUACAGUCAUUUCCAAAUUAGCUUGGACAAAGUAGGGCCCGGCCGGAAAGCAAAAAGUUGUCGUAUACGUCCUCGGAUGCAUUUGCAAGAAGCUGGAGCUAAUCCUUUUUCUUAACUUUGGUGCCUGAGAGUCUUCUCACUGGGAAAUGCCAUACAGUCUCCUCUUUCCUCUAGAUGAGAUGUCUGAUAAGGACAGGUGAGUUUCUAUUUCAUUAUGUCUGAAUAUGCCCUGCAUCAGUGAGUUACAUCUCAUAGAUGCAGCAUCUUUGAUGUCUUUACUGAGGCCUUUUUUCAGGCAGAAAGAAAGAUGCCCACCCCUGAACAGACCCACACAGACACAGACACACACAUGCACGCACACACACCUGCAUCCCCUAACCAAAUGUAACGCCUGAACUUGCAAACCCUUUGUCAUGACAGUAAUCUUUAUUCACGUGGGCAACCCCGCAGGACUAUUCAUGCAAUGGAGAAUUACUCACAUGAGUAAAACUUUGCAGGAUCAGGUCCUGGAUCUAACAACAGCAUUUUAAUUACAGACAAUCCCCAAGCAAUGUGUACAAAAGAGUUUUUUCCUGGACAAUAACAAAGGUUAUUAGCCUGUUCUUUUUUCCCCUUCUUGCUCUUUGGUUUAAAAGGAGGCACCAAUAAUCCAAACCAAAUAAAACUGACCU